rnacentral:rRNA from 1 species
GGCUCGAGGACGAACGCUGGCGGCGCGCCUAACACAUGCAAGUCGAACGGGUGAGAGGAGCUUGCUCCUCAAGCUAGUGGCGGACGGGUGAGUAACACGUGAGCAACCUGCCUUUCAGAGGGGGACAACAGUUGGAAACGACUGCUAAUACCGCAUAACAUCAUCGAGUGGCAUCGCUUGAUGAUCAAAGAUUUAUCGCUAGAAAGAGUGGGCUCGCGUCUGAUUAGAUAGUUGGUGAGGUAACCGGCCCACCAAGUCGACGAUCAGUAGCCGGACUGAGAGGUUGAACGGCCACAUUGGGACUGAGACACGGCCCAGACUCCUACGGGAGGCAGCAGGUGGGGGAUAUUGGACAAUGGGGGGCCAACCCUGAUCCAGCGACGCCGCGUGAGGGAAGAAGGUUUUCGGAUUGUAAACCUCUGUUGACAGGGAAGAAAAUGACGGUACCUGUUUAGAAAGCCACGGCUAACUACGUGCCAGCCGCUGC